GGAUUUUGAGGACGAGAGCGAGUACGAGUCAGAGUGGGCCCAGGAUUCUGACUAUGAUGGACCUAUGUCAGCAAGCUUGCCAUGCUACAAGUAUGAAAGAGUUUGGUCCCCCAUCAUCUUUUAACACAGAAAGGUGUGAGGCUUUCAACUCAAAGAUGAGAAACUACAAUGUAUACUCUAAUAAAGCUGCGUCAAGUAGAGACAUUGCUCUCAGCUUUGCCGUGUUGGAAGACAUUUUAAAAGGAGAAGGCAUAUUACCCGGCGGCCGUGGUAUUGUCACUACUUCUGUUCCCUUUGUCUCCACUGCACUACAAUCUAUGGCAGACAUGCCUGUCAAAAAGAAACGAAGAGGCUCCCCCGAAAGAAAACUAUUUUGAUAACCAUUUUGUAGCCAUAUGUACUUGUAUAUACAGCCAUUCAAAUGUGGUCCGAAUGGAGCAACACCACCCAAACACAAGGCGAUAUACCAGCCAGGAGCACUCAGAAUUGUAAUUAUCACAUUUUUAUGUUGAGUCGACGAAAGCAUACAAAAUGACACAAAUUACAGAAACAAGUACAGCCUGCAUCUCUCUCGAGUGUUGAGCUUAAGGUGGGUGGAGAGGUGAUGACUCUGGGAAGCCUUCCCACUGGCCUAUCUGUGGAUCUUCUUGAGACCUUCAACCUGCGGGAUGAUGUCCAAAGAUAUGUAGGUGUUGUGUCACAAGCUGGCCAACUUGUUCACUGUGGGCAAUCUGUUAAAUUGGCCACCACAGACAACAUGUCACAGGUACGUACUUUACAAAUUAACAUUCGACUUGUGUUCACACACAACCUCACACUUCUACCACACACACAACACUGCAGUAUGGUAUACUGGUGGCAAAUGUACUCAGACUAGCAUCCCAUUCAUCUAUGUGCCUGGUCCAGAAAUUUGAGGGCAUCGUCUUGAAUGGACAACCAAUUGUCAACGAGUAUGACUGCCCACUGUUGACCCUAACGGAUACGAUUACUGGAGUCUACCCUGUUGACAUUUUACUUGAAACGUCAAUAGUACAUGAAUGUACAGCCACUUGUGAAUUUGUCAGUAACGGACCGCUCAAUGUCCUACAAGUCGAACGAGAGACAAUUCCAACAAACAGAUUUGUAUACAUGCACGACUGGACGAAUAAAUUGUAUUGUUUCAAUGUAUACUGCAUGACGCAGUAGCUUUCAUGUUGUUACUAUCACUUUUGUGCUUUCAAUUCUAUUGCUAAUUUGUUGUCUGUACUAUCACUUUGCCUUUAAAAUAAUGACAA